UACGGAGGGGGCAAGCGUUAUUCGGAAUUAUUGGGCGUAAAGGGCGCGUAGGCGGCUUGGUAAGUCAAAGGUGAAAUCCCUCGGCUCAACCGAGGAAUUGCCUUUGAAACUGCCUGGCUUGAGGCCGGGAGGGGGUAGCGGAAUUCCCAGUGUAGCGGUGAAAUGCGUAGAUACUGGGAGGAACACCGGUGGCGAAGGCGGCUACCUGGACCGGUUCUGACGCUGAUGCGCGAAAGCGUGGGGAGCAAACAGGAUUAGAAACCCCCGUAGUCC
rnacentral:rRNA from 1 species